GACGAACGCUGGCGGCGUGCCUAAUACAUGCAAGUCGAACGCUGAAGGAGGAGCUUGCUUCUCUGGAUGAGUUGCGAACGGGUGAGUAACGCGUAGGUAACCUGCCUGGUAGCGGGGGAUAACUAUUGGAAACGAUAGCUAAUACCGCAUAAUAGUAGAUGUUGCAUGACAUUUGCUUAAAAGGUGCAAUUGCAUCACUACCAGAUGGACCUGCGUUGUAUUAGCUAGUUGGUGAGGUAACGGCUCACCAAGGCGACGAUACAUAGCCGACCUGAGAGGGUGAUCGGCCACACUGGGACUGAGACACGGCCCAGACUCCUACGGGAGGCAGCAGUAGGGAAUCUUCGGCAAUGGACGGAAGUCUGAACGAGCAACGCCGCGUGAGUGAAGAAGGUUUUCGGAUCGUAAAGCUCUGUUGUAAGAGAAGAACGAGUGUGAGAGUGGAAAGUUCACACUGUGACGGUAUCUUACCAGAAAGGGACGGCUAACUACGUG
rnacentral:rRNA from 1 species